CAGUUGGACAAGACCAAGGAAAGGAAAAGACCAGGAACAAAAUGUUUCCAGUUUGGCUCAAGAUGCCAACAAUCAAAUCGAAGAAACCAAAGAGAGGAUCACAGAGUCUCCUUGUAAGCCAGGACUCUCCUGUUGCAAACACUAAGCUCAGUGAGACGCUGGCUGAGGUCGCCAAGGCUCCUGUAUCUGCUGGCCCACCGGAGAUGCCACAGGAGGAAGAGACCGUAGGGUGCUGUUUCUUCAGGAUGCCAAAAUUCAAGUUCUCCUUCAAGGUGGAGUUCAGUUUCUAUGCGAGAUGUUAUUGUAAUUUUAGACAUUAUGUGUACUAAUGCUGGUCAGAGAGGCUACUGAGUGAAGAACACAUUGGUGUAACAUGAUCUGUGAGUAUGCAGUUUAGAUAUUUAAUUAUUCAUUACAAUUUGAAUCUGAAAUGAUUUAAUCUCUCUCUCACUUUAUCAGAAAAUGAGGAAAGGUGCUAAAAUUGGGC